UUAAAUAUAUUGAAUAUUUAUAUGUAUAUAAAAUUUAAAAAUGGCAAUAAAAUUACUAGCAGGGAGGUUCGGGGUGGAUGUCAACACCCCAUAACCCGUCUUUGCCUCAUGUUUUAAUUUUAGAGAAAAAUUGCACCUGCAUUCAAUAAAAACGGGUUUUCUCUAUCCAAAUCGGGAUGGGUUUGGGAAGGUACCCGCGGGUGUGGAUUUUGUUGUCAUCCUUUGUCCUAACACAUGGUAACCUUUGUUAACUUUUAUCUUGAAGAGCUAUGAACAUUAUGAACUUUAAGUGGAUUUCUAAAUGUUUGUUGAGUAUGUUCAUAACUUGAGAUGUAGGAGAGAGAAAACAAGAGGUUAAUCACACUUUUCCAUGUUGAUAUUGUUCACUGUAGUUAAUAGUACAAAGGAAAGUACAAUGAGUUUAACUACUUUUCUGUCACAAAAGUGCUUUUGUACUUUUUCUUUGAACUUUCUGCAUAGUCAAUCUUCUUUGUCUUCAUAAAUCUACUAUCUAUCUAAAAAACAAACAUUCCUUUGAUUAUCCAAAAAUACCCUCACUUUUUUUCACUUUCUUUUCUUUUAAUAUCGACACAUCAUCACCUUUUGAUCCUAUUUAUCCAAAAUUGUAAUUUUGUCUCCACUCAUUUUAAAAUUUCCUUUGAUCACAUAAUCCUAUAAUACCCUUAUAUGUACUCAUUUUUGUUUUGCUACACGUUAACCUUCAUACCUCAUGUCAACUUUUUACUUUUUCUGAUUUUUUACUUUUUCUGAAAACAUCACUUCUCACCCACCUUUACCAUUUUUCUCCUUCUUCUUUCCAUUUUCCCAAACCCAACACAACCACACCUUCAAACACCCACCUUCACCAUUUUUCUCCUUCUUCUUUCCAUUUUCCCAAACCCAACACAACCACACCUUCAAAGAAAACAUUCUGAGAGAAAAGCCUUCAAUAUAAAAAAAAAAAAUAAUCAAAAUCCCACCACACUUCAAUGGCUAAUCCAAAUCAUGACUCAAUGGCUUCAAAUAAACCUCAGUCGUCUUCAACUAAUGCGUUUCGUUCCACUCCGUCGUUGAGCACUCAACCGAGGUCUCAAGCUGCAUUGUUAGCCAUAGUAACAAAUAAAAAUAUUAGUUCUCCCUUCGAUUACUUCAAAGAUCUAAACAAAGACAGAGAAGUUUGGAAGUUUGGCAUUCGUAUUGUUGAUGUGUGGUCUGUUCUCGGUAAAUAUGGUCAACUGCAUGUUGAAAUGGUGUUUGUUGAUGUUAAGGGUGAUAGAAUUCAUGUUGUUGUUCCAAAAGAUUAUGUAGCUGGGUUCAAAGACAUGUUGAAAGAACACACAACAUAUAUUAUGCACAAUUGUUCUGUUGUUGAUAAUGAUGAUCAAUUUAAGGUUUGUGAUCAUCGUUAUAAGUUGAUGUUUAAUAGUGGGACUACUCUGACAGAGGAGAAGUUGGAUCAAAUUCCAUCGCAUGUUUAUAACUUUAAGUCUUUUGGUGAUAUUCUUAGUGGGAAAUGUCAAAGUAAUUUGUUAGUAGAUGUAAUUGGUGUUGUGCAUGAAGUCACUUUCACACAAAGAGAGGGUGUUGGAAAGAAAGUUCAAGCUUCAUUUAAUAUGAAAGAUCUUAGUGGCAAUAUUAUUAAUUGUACUCUUUGGGAAGACAAUGGGAGGAAAUUUAUGUCUUAUAGUACCAACACAUCUGAAAAUGCAGCAAUUAUUAUUAUUUUAACACGUGCACGGAUCAAACAUGCACAUGGAAUACAGUUGUGUCACGAUCGGUACUACUACCAGCUUUGUUGCAUCAAAAUAUGGAUGGUUCUAUUACUCAUGUGACAAAUGCAAUAGGAAAACUGACAAGGUUAAUGAACCAUUUACGUGUAAAUGUGGUACAAAGUUGAGAUUUACGUAUCUCGUAAUGAAUAUCGUGUCCCAUGUUGCUUUUGGGAUGCUGAUUGCUUUUCUAUACUUGGGUUUACUGCUGAUGAUAUUUGGAACUUGAUGUUAGAGGCCGGUGAAAAUAAUCAAAAAUUUAUCCACCAUUUCUUAACGUUAUGCUGAAUAGGCAUAUGGCACUUAGAGUUAAAAUUCAGCCAUCAUUUGGAAGCGCAUCUGUCAUGCGUUUUUCUGAACUUGAAGAAAUAAUUACACACAUGUUAGAUCAAUUUCCAAACGAUGAGACAACCUCUCAAAUGCAAAUCACCAGUGAUGAUUAUUAUGAAGACAAUGAUCGUGUUGAUGUUGAAAAAAAUCAAACCCCCACAAAACCUACUCAAAGUGGAGAAAUUCAUUUUGUUACUCAAUCUCUUUCAACAACUGCUGACUAUGACCCAGAUAUCACUACAACUGUAACACCUACUAAGAGGAUUAUAGACGACUUCUUACCUGACGCAUCUCAGGGUGGAGAUUAUGCAUCUACUAAACUCUCAACCUCAAAGAUUGUGAAACAAAUUAAGAUUGAAUGAACUUAUAUGAAAUAUAUGUUAUCAAAUAUAUGUAUGGAUGUUUUGCAAAACGAACAAAGCUAAGGAUAGUCUC